CACACCGCCCGUCACACCAUGGAAGUUGGUUGCACCAGAAGUCGGUCGCUUAACCGCAAGGAGAGCGCCGUCCACGGUGUGGCUAAUGACUGGGGUG
rnacentral:rRNA from 1 species